rnacentral:ncRNA from 1 species
GGGCAGGACCCCGCCUACGGGGCCUACACCGGAG